rnacentral:rRNA from 1 species
GGGUCCGGACACACUGAGGAUUGACAGGCAAUUAUUGUGCUUUGUAACUUUUUUUAAGUUGCUUACACAACAACAAAUUAUGCUAGUCCUUUCAUGAUUAUGUGAUAGGUGGUGCAUGGCCGUUCUUAGUUCGUGGAGUGAUCUGUCUGCUUAAUUGCGUUUCAUCAGGGACCAUGUUUAUUUAUGUACUUUCUUACUCGCUUUUUAAGCACUUUUGUGUUUUUUAAGCUUGUACUUUAGUGCAAUUGGUCCUGAAAGCAACGAACGUGACCGCAUCCUCUUGUUGCCUUUUUAACUUGAGUUGUUUACACUUCUCAUAACAUAAGAGGCUUUCCUAAAACUAGAGGGACCGCUGCGACUUUUUUAAACCAGAGGAAGGUUGCGGCAAUAACAGGUCUGUGAUGCCCUUAGAUGUUCCGGGCUGCACACGUGCUACAAUGAUUAUUGCAGUGAGCAUCUCAUUUUAUUUUUUGUGCUUGUCUUGUCUGACUCUUUUACGAGGGAAAGACGAUAGCCUUAGCCUGCUUCGAAAGUUCGCAGGU